GAAUAAAGUUAUUGAGGUUUUUUUUAUUUAUAGAGUCAUUAUCAUCCAGCCAUAAAGAAAUAUGCAGUACAUUUAGGUAAAAUGGCUCCUGUGUCUGGAGAAGGACAGUUACCGUUACAAUAUAAAAAACCUCCACGUGAUUUAUAUGAUGAGUUUUCAACAGAAAUAGAUGUAUUUAAUCCACCUGUUGCAGAAAAAUCAACUUUUAAACACAAAAGUAAAAAGAUGAAGAUGUUCAUGCAGGAAGAUAUAAGUGAUAUGGUGGUGCAAGUUCUUAGUUCAAUACCAGACUGACACUGUAGCAAAUAAAAAAUACACAACUCUA